rnacentral:rRNA from 1 species
AUUGAACGCUGGCGGCAGGCCUAACACAUGCAAGUCGAGCGGUAGAGAGGUGCUUGCACCUCUUGAGAGCGGCGGACGGGUGAGUAAUGCCUAGGAAUCUGCAUGGUAGUGGGGGAUAACGCUCGGAAACGGACGCUAAUACCGCAUACGUCCUACGGGAGAAAGCAGGGGACCUGCGGGCCUUGCGCUAUCAGAUGAGCCUAGGUCGGAUUAGCUAGUUGGUGGGGUAAUGGCUCACCAAGGCGACGAACCGUAACUGGUCUGAGAGGAUGAUCAGUCACACUAGAACUGAGACAAGGUCCAAGCUCCUAAGGGAGGCAGCAGUGGGGAAUAUUGGACAAUGGGCGAAAGCCUGAUCCAGCCAUGCCGCGUGUGUGAAGAAAUUCUUCGGAUUGUAAAGCACUUUAAGUUGGGAGGAAGGGCAGUAAGUUCAUACCUUGCUGUUUUGACGUUACCGACAGAAUAAGCACCGGCUAACUCUGUGCCAGCCGCCGCAGUAA